GGAUGAAGAACGCAGCGAAAUGCGAUAAGUAAUGUGAAUUGCAGAAUUCAGUGAAUCAUCGAAUCUUUGAACGCACAUUGCGCCCGCCAGUAUUCUGGCGGGCAUGCCUGUUCGAGCGUCAUUACAACCCUCAGGCCCCCGGGCCUGGCGUUGGGGAUCGGCGGAGCCCCCCGUGGGCACACGCCGUCCCCCAAAUGCAGUGGCGGUCCCGCCGCAGCUUCCAUCGCGUAGUAGCUAACACCUCGCGACUGGAGAGCGGCGCGGCCACGCCGUAAAACACCCAACUCUUCUGAAGUUGACCUCGAAUCAGGUAGGAAUACCCGCUGAACUUAAGCAUAUCAAUAAGCGGAGGA
rnacentral:misc_RNA from 1 species